rnacentral:rRNA from 1 species
AGCUCCAAUAGCGUAUAUUAAAGUUGUUGCAGUUAAAAAGCUCGUAGUUGAAUUUGUGGAGGCGCCUGCGGUCCAAAAUGUUUUGGUACUGUCGGGCGCAUCCAUCUUUGGGUGGAACCUGUGGGGCAUUAGGUUGUUCUGCAGGGGAUGCCCAUCGUUUACUGUGAAAAAAUUAGAGUGUUCAAAGCAGGCUUACGCCGUUGAAUAUAUUAGCAUGGAAUAAUGAGAUAGGACUUUGGUACUAUUUUGUUGGUUUGCGCACCAAAGUAAUGAUUAAUAGGGACAGUUGGGGGUAUUCGUAUUCCAUUGUCAGAGGUGAAAUUCUUGGAUUUUUGGAAGACGAACUACUGCGAAAGCAUUUACCAAGGAUGUUUUCAUUAAUCAAGAACGAAAGUACGCA